UUAAAUAAAACUUUUAUUUAACCGUCCGUUUAUCCAUGAAGAAAUUAAUAGAUAUACAAUAUGAAAAAAAUGUUAUCCAGUUUUUUGUCUAUUUGUCAAUAAAUUAUCAAAUAUCAGCGUCUACUCUAUUUCCAAUCCAUAAAGUGUCCUGUACGGCUGAAUCCAGUGACUAUUCGUAUCGUUUUGUAUUUUCGAAACGCAUUUCACGUGUUUCAUGUUAGGUGUGAUUUGCGCAAUAAACUUUUAAGAUCUAGGAGAAUAUAAUAUACAGUUGUAUUUUAAAGGACCACCUGCAGUUGCAUCUUCAUUAUCAUCUUCAAGUCAACUUCAACAAAAUAGCAACAAAUAUACAACUACAGAGGUUAUUUAGCUUUUCAGACUUGUUGUUAAUACAUUAGUUAAUGUGAAGUAUGGAAUUAAUAACAUAUCAAAUAUUGUUCAAUCCAACCAUUUAAACAUUGAUUGUCUUCUCACCAAUGCAAACAAAAGUUCUUCUGUAGAUCAUUCAUACGUUGAAAGCAGCAUUAAUAAGAUUAUGUUUCCCAUUGACAAUGAUGAAGAUUUGUAUACUUUUAAAGACAAGAUUAAACUGGAUAAUGGUUUCAAAGAAUCUUUGAUAUCAUCAGAAUGAACAUAAAAUACAAAAAUAUUCCAGAAAAAGAUAUAGACCACUGCCUUGGUAUAUGGCUCUCAAAUCCACCAUUUUGUAUCAAGAAGAAAUUAAU